CCAACCUCAGAUGAUCCACCCGCCUCAGCCUCCCAAAGUGCUGGGAUUACAGGCAUGAGCCACUGCGCCCGACCCCGUUUUACUUUUAACAAGCGUGAAUGCAUCUGUUUCUGAGCUAUGUGGGCAACAUGCUUGUGAGGUGCGGACCUGCCCUACAGGACGUGCAGCUUGGUUAGUCGAGAAGAAAUUUUACCCAAGGGCAAGUAGCGAGAACACAGCAAACCGACGCAUGCAGAGGGAGAUCCAGCAGUCAGACCGGGCGGGUGGAAACAGCUGAGCGUCUUCAGUGGCUCGUGAUGGGACAGACGGCCUAGUCUGAAAAACUGAGGCAGGAGGGACUGCCCAGCUUCAGGAGGGAGAGUAGGAGCCUGUCCCAGGCCCAGCCACUUUGGCGACAGCAAAUUACAGAGCUACCAGAAGGAGGAGAGGCCCAGGCUGUCAGGGAGCACUACCGGCUGCCGAGAGGGUAGGGGGCCCUGGGCCCGCCCUGCAGAGGUUCCUGCUCAGGUUCUCCGGAGCCUGGGUGGAGCAGAGUAGAGUCAUGACCUGUGUGGACCCUGCAGUGCCCAGAUUUAGAAUUCUGCCAACCUCCAAGCUCACCAUCAGCCUCCUGCGGCCCCACUUGUUGCUGGGGCAGCUACUGUGCCCCGACCCCAUCGUCCCCAUGCAGAGGGUCCCAGCCGCAGGUCCGUGGGGGCUGGUGUCUGGCCUCCCUCCUUCUGACUGGCUGAGCAAAGUAUCCGCAGGGCACAGAGUAGGUCACAGGGAUGCCAAUUAGAAAGGAUAAAGCUUUUGCGGCCUAAGGCAGUUGUGGGGUUCACUUCCAGUCUUUGAGAACACAGGAGACUAUCUGUUUUGAAAUUAACAUAGAGGUUCCCCAAAUCAGUACAGUUUCCCCUCCUUUGGGGCUAUGACAGUGACUUUUCCAUCUGAAGACAGCAAAGCAAGUGAGUCGGUGGCCGGGUCUGCUCUCCGCCCGCGUGCAAGUGUGGGAGCAAAGAGGCACCCAGAGAAGCCCCCGUGGCCUGAGGCUCUUUGUAAAAAAGACAAGGCCCUGAGCAACAUACUGGCUCCUGCUGCUCAGGACGACAACCAUGCUUGGCUGCUCAGUGGGUCUGCACCGCCUGCCGCUCCAGUGUCCUGUCCACUCCACAGCAACCCCAAGCUCUACCUCCUGUCCACGCGUGUGUCUGUGCACACAGCGUGUUGCGGUCAGUGAAUGGCCUCCUGCUUCUCGAGCGCCAUGAGGCUGGCUUUUGUUUGUGUUUUUCUUACCUAGGACUGGGACAAAAGAUGGCCUGAUGCCAGGAGGUGCCGCCCACCAGUGGGGCUAGGCUGGGAGAGCUACUUUCUCCCCACCAGAGCCACCUCUGCUGUCAGUCCUAGGCUGCAACCUCCUGGCCUUUCUGGGCCACACUGGGACCAUUCUCUUGGCAAAAUCUGAGUGAAGUGAGGAAACCGGGGGCUCUUAUGAAAUGGACAGAGCACAGGGUGGGCAUCGGCUGGGCUACGUCCCUGGCCGGAGCUGUCCGCCAAGUUGGAGGACAGAAGAGCGUGCUGGGAGGGAAACAUGGAUUCACCGCAGUGCUCAGGCCACCAAGCACACCACCCCCCAGACACCAGGGAAACCCAAGCAUCUGCACAGGAGUGAGAUUGUGCUAGAUUUUGCUAGAAUCAGGCCCUGCCAGUUGAGGAGCAGCUGGUGGGAGGUGGGAGAUGUGCAGGCUGAGCACAAGCUCAUGGUGUGUGAUGACUCAGGCCCCUCACUGGAGACACCAGGUGAGAGGAGAGACUGCAGGGCCUGGCACACACAGGCCCACUCUUCCUGCUGCCGGCCAGAAGGAGCUGUGUACACAGCAAGGCGGAGAGAGAAACAUUAACCAAAUUGCAAGUUUCGGAUCAUUUGUCUUAUUGUGGCUUCAGGAAAAGUUUAUCUUUCAAGCAGGCCCACCUGUUCUUGUAAAACCUUAUCUGGGCUAUUAGGGGGCGAGUCAUCAGUGCUUGUUCAAACAUUCCACUGAAGAGGGGAGCGGAAAGGAGAGGAGGUGCGAAGGUCACUUUCAAAUUUGGAAACCUCUCUUCCCUUGCUUGAAGAAAGAGAGAUCUGCACUGAACGCGUUUGCCCCUCACAUUUCCCUCUGAUCUUUCAGGGAGCCCAGGCCGGUUCGGGGUGCAGCUGCACCCAUUUGUGGGCACACGCCAGUCAGAAAAGUUGUGUUAAUUUGCAGUGAAUGUUUUCAAACUCCUUUCUCAAAGAUGAAAGUGUUGCCACCUUGUCUUGGCUCCUGCCAGGUUGUGUGGCAAGCGUGUGUGUGAGUGCAGUGUCCUGAUUCCCGGAGAUGCUGAAUGAAAGCCCAACUCUGCAUGAUUCCCUGGCCCACACCUCCGAGCCUUCCCUGCUGGGAGGAGCACCUGGUGUGCACAGGCCCUUGGAUUAGGGAUGUGUGCGCCUAUCUAAGAUUAUGCUACAGGAAUUCAGGCCAAAGACAAUGACUUAGAUUUUUGGCAGACUUAGAUUUUUGGCUAAAAUUUCACAUCACAGUGCUCUAAUUGUAAUUAAUUAUGGUGCUGCGUUUCUUUACAAGGUUGUAAAACGCAAAAGCUGAAGUUGCAGGAUGGUCUUGAAUGAUUGACUAAAAUUGUCUGCUUCUCUAAUGCUAGGCAGAACAUAUAAAAAGAUAAAUCCUAUUAAAACCCCUCCUUCCAGAGAGCAGAAAAUAAAGGGACUCAAAGUCCAUCACUCUCGUGUGCUGCCCAGGGCAGCACUGGGGCCACAGACACUCUUGCCGAUGGCUAUUUUGUGUUUGCUGCAGGCUUCCUAACAGAAAGGAGGCUUUGUAAGAGCACAGAAACAUGCCCAUGCUUCUUGGAUGUGCCCUGGGACAGAGCUGAGCAAACCACGUGAAAGCAAUAUGUGGUAUUGAUUACUCAGCAAAUAUAAACAAUCCCAUACUCUUCACAGCUAUGCCUUUAUUCUUUAUUCAGCAUAUUUCAACCUUUAAAAGACUUGAAGUCAUUCUACUUUGCUGCCUCUCUCCUUUGCUCAACUACCUUCUGCCUAGAGCAGGCCACAUCCUACUGGGGCAGGGAGCUUUGUACUCAGCUCACUGGCCUCCAAGGCCUCACAUCCUACUGGGGCAGGGAGCUUUGUACUCAGCUCACUGGCCUUUGUACUCACCUCACUGGAAGGAGGUCCACUCUCCUGCUGUUGCCACCUCCUGGUUGAGCAGCACCUUGUCUACGACUGCCUCGUCUUCAUUCUCAUUGUAUUUAUUUCUGGUUUUCUGCUGUGCUGCUUUUAUCUCAUGCAUAUAUGAAAGCCUUUAAGAAACAUCAGAGAGUAAUGGAGACGGAGGUGCCGAGAAUCAGCAACUGCAGAAGCCCUGGGCUCUCUUCCCCAGUGCUGUUGUAUUAAAGGAUUUUGUUAUUGUCCGUGGUGGUUUGCCCUUUUUGAAAAAUGGAAGCAUCAAAGUUUUAAACUCAUGUCAUCAUUAAAAUAACAACAUUCAUUGUUUGAAACAAAAAUUAACUGUUAAGUGAGAGUUUGAGAAGUCUUAGUCAGAACGCAGUGCUGACCUUCAUCUGCAUUUUGGAGCCACCACAUCCAAUCCAUCACCCGCUGGUUGUAGCAGCAGAGAGAAGGACGCAACCCCUGACCUGCUGUUGUUUUAUGGCUGAUGAUUCAGAAAGACAGAAAAAAUGCCCUCAUUUUAGCAGCUUUCAUUUGAUCAUUCUCUUCCACCUUCCCCAGCCUCUAGGAGAUGCGUUUAUUGCCAGCUUCACUGCAGAGGAGACAAAUAAGUAACCCAGAUGUUGGCAUUUGUGGCACCUUUGCAGACGCCUCCAUGACACAUGUCAUAUCAUACACCACGUAUUGGAUGUAAUGUGAGCAAUUUAUGAGUCCAGAUGCAUCAACUGCUCUCCUUGUGCCCCUGCUGACAUUCCCCGGAGAUCAAUAUCCUGUAAAAAGCCUGAAGAUUACUUCCUUUCAAUGCUUACUAAGUACAGAUUCUGCAAAACUUUUUCAUAAGCCAGUUCUGUGGAACCCCUUUCUGGCCAUUUCCUGAAGCAACUUUCUUUCCUAAUCAUCCCCACAACACGAAGGCCAGGUUCUGCAAGUAAAACGGUGGUGAGGCAAUUCUGGACUCAUUUAAGUGGCAAGCCCAGGAGGGUGGGUCUCAGAGAACACGUAGAGGGAAGUGGAGGCUCGCGCAGUGUGGAAAUACUGACCAGAUGGAAUUAACCACCUUCCCGGAAGCAGGACUGGAGAGCGCUGUGGAGCUUGCCACAGGUUCUGCUGGAUAGGAAAGUGUGUCUCCUCCACCUGCUGUCUGCUUCUGUCCUGUCUUAGCCCAGCAGAGCUGUUUUAAUGCAGACAUUUGCAGCCUGCCCAGAACUCUCCUGGAACCAGUAAGUCGCCAGUUAGGAAAAAGAUCAGCACCGACCAAACAGAGAUGUUGGAAACCUGCAUUAAUCCCCAGUGGAGGCAGAGGCUCUGAAUGCUGAAGCCACAGCUGCGACAUGGCCACACUCUGCACAUGGCCCCAGGCACUCAGAUUUCUGCACCCUCAGGGUGACUCACAGGCUCCAGAGCCAGGGUUCAGGCCCUGCUGACCACAGUCAAGUGUCCCCUGCUGCCUCAGACCAGGGCCGAAUUCCUGGUGUGCCUCCCUCCUGCACCCACUCAAUGGCUCUGUGGCCUUUGCAAGCACCUGCCUGGCAGGGCUAUGACAAUGUGUGGAGUCAGACGAUGGUGCCAAGUUCGGAGAGGACUUACAGUGAGACAGUGUAGAUAAAGCCUGGGGCCCAGCUCCCCAGCAGCACCUGCUCCUGCACUGUGGCCACUGUGGCAAUGUGGCUGCUUCUAUUUCCUUGAGCACCAUUGCCAUUUUAUCCCAGGCAGGGCCCCUUCGCCCCCUGCACCUGCCACCAUCUGUCCUCGCCCCUGACUCCCAAGCCUCCUAUCAGUCCUGGUCUUGGGAGGGAAAGAACCCCUGGCUUGGGGAACCUGCCAGUCCUGAGGUGGCCACCUGCCAAGGCCCUGGCAUUCCCCCAUCCUGGGGCUCCUGCCCCACCGCUGAGCUCUCCCUCUCACUCCCAUCCCCUUAGCCUCUCCUGGCUGGGGCCUUGCUGUCUGUCACCUCUGAACAGAGCUGAUGCUGACACCGCGGAACGGCAGGGACCUGGAACUGUUCCACUCACCUGCUUCAGCCAGCACCUUGAGGACAGAUCUUCACCUGCACUUGGAGCGUUUAGUUGAAAUACAGUGUUGAUAAUAAUGUAA